CGUUACCUACGGGGGGCAGCAGUGGGGAAUAUUGCACAAUGGGGGGAACCCUGAUGCAGCGACGCCGCGUGGGUGAAGGAGCGUUUCGGCGCGUAAAGCCCUAUCGGCAGGGAAGAAGGAGGACGGUACCUGACUAAGAAGCCCCGGCUAACUACGUGCCAGCAGCCGCGGUAAUACGUAGGGGGCAAGCGUUAUCCGGAUUUACUGGGCGUAAAGGGGGCGCAGACGGCAGCGCAAGCCAGGAGUGAAAGCCCGGUGCCCAACCCCGGGACUGCUCUUGGCACUGCGCGGCU
rnacentral:rRNA from 1 species